CUCAAACUAAGCCCUAGCCCAACUCAAGCCCAUAUCUCCUCCCCCCUUUCUCAUAUCAGUCACGCACCUUCUCCCCUUUUCUCAUAUCACGCUGCUCGCCUCUCUCCCUCUCUCAGAAUUCCUCCGGCCGCGUGCCACCACUCCCGGCGACGAGCGCCGCUCCGACUCUCCUCUCCCUCAACUGCUCUCUCUUCUCUCGCGCUAAAACGGACGCCCAUCACUUCCCUCUCUCUCUCUCUCUGACAGUGGCCGAGCACAGCGGCACCUCCUCCCUCUCGAUUCAGGUCGACAGCAGCGAGGACCGCCACUGACCGCCGCUGAGCCCUCCACCUCCAUCGUUUCUCUCUCAAAUCUCUCGCUUGUUCACAGAUCCGACGGCCGUAGCAGCGGGAGCUAACCACCACCGUCCGCCGACUCCGACGCCUCACCUCUCUGUCUCCGGCAGACGACGACAACGCCGCCCCUGUCUCCCUCCGCUCAGACCAGCUCCGACCAGCCACCGCCCCACACAGGAAGAGGAAAAAGGCGGUGCCUUUGCCGCCGUGGCGUCGCCGGCGUCGAGCAGCCACUGGGCUGAAACUCACCUCCCUCUCGACUCAUCACACAAGGACAGGAGACAAAAAUUUCAAAGCUUCAAAAUGAAAUCUUUUCUCUUUUCUUUUCAAUGAAUCAUGCUUUCAUGUAAAAACAGUAAAAGUGUGGAGUAUUACAGAAAAUAGAAUGAUUAUGCUUUGGUGUGUGUGAUUUCUUGGAUGCAAGAGGCUAAAUGUUUUCGUUGCUGA